UACGUAGGUGGCAAGCGUUGUCCGGAUUUACUGGGCGUAAAGAGCGCGCAGGCGGUCGAUUUAGUCGUGUGUGAAAGCCCCCGGCUCAACUGGGGAGGGUCACGCGAUACUGAUCGACUCGAAGGCAGGAGAGGGUAGUGGAAUUCCCGGUGUAGUGGUGAAAUGCGUAGAUAUCGGGAGGAACACCAGUGGCGAAGGCGACUACCUGGCCUGUUCUUGACGCUGAGGCGCGAAAGCUAGGGGAGCAACGGG
rnacentral:rRNA from 1 species